AGGACGAACGCUGGCGGCGUGCCUAACACAUGCAAGUCGAACGAGGUCCAACCGGUGGCAACACUGGUGAAGACCUAGUGGCGAACGGGUGAGUAUCACGUGAGCAACCUGCCCCGAAGACUGGGAUAACACCGGGAAACCGGUGCUAAUACCGGAUACCCCCACCGGAUCGCAUGGUCUGGUGAGGAAAUGAAUUUUGCUUUGGGAGGGACUCGCGGCCUAUCAGCUUGUUGGUGGUGUAACGGACCACCAAGGCUUCGACGGGUAGCUGGUCUGAGAGGACGAUCAGCCACACUGGGACUGAGACACGGCCCAGACUCCUACGGGAGGCAGCAGUGGGGAAUCUUGCGCAAUGGGCGAAAGCCUGACGCAGCAACGCCGCGUGAGGGACGAAGGCCUUCUGGGUUGUAAACCUCUUUCAGCAGGGACGAUGAUGACGGUACCUGCAGAGAAGCCCGGCCAACUACGUGCCAGCAGCCGCGGU
rnacentral:rRNA from 1 species